rnacentral:rRNA from 2 species
GAAUGCUGACAUAAGUAACGAUAAAGCGGGUGAAAAGCCCGCUCGCCGGAAGACCAAGGGUUCCUGUCCAACGUUAAUCGGGGCAGGGUGAGUCGACCCCUAAGGCGAGGCCGAAAGGCGUAGUCGAUGGGAAACGGGUUAAUAUUCCCGUACUUGGUGUUACUGCGAAGGGGGGACGGAGAAGGCUAUGUUGGCCGGGCGACGGUUGUCCCGGUUUAAGCGUGUAGGUGUGUGUUCCAGGUAAAUCCGGUUCACUUUAACACUGAGGCGUGACGACGAGGCACUACGGUGCUGAAGCAACAAAUGCCCUGCUUCCAGGAAAAGCCUCUAAGCAUCAGGUAACAUCAAAUCGUACCCCAAACCGACACAGGUGGUCAGGUAGAGAAUACCAAGGCGCUUGAGAGAACUCGGGUGAAGGAACUAGGCAAAAUGGUGCCGUAACUUCGGGAGAAGGCACGCUGACACGUAGGUGAAGUGAUUUACUCAUGGAGCUGAAGUCAGUCGAAGAUACCAGCUGGCUGCAACUGUUUAUUAAAAACACAGCACUGUGCAAACACGAAAGUGGACGUAUACGGUGUGACGCCUGCCCGGUGCCGGAAGGUUAAUUGAUGGGGUCAGCGCAAGCGAAGCUCCUGAUCGAAGCCCCGGUAAACGGCGGCCGUAACUAUAACGGUCCUAAGGUAGCGAAAUUCCUUGUCGGGUAAGUUCCGACCUGCACGAAUGGCGUAAUGAUGGCCAGGCUGUCUCCACCCGAGACUCAGUGAAAUUGAACUCGCUGUGAAGAUGCAGUGUACCCGCGGCAAGACGGAAAGACCCCGUGAACCUUUACUAUAGCUUGACACUGAACAUUGAGCCUUGAUGUGUAGGAUAGGUGGGAGGCUUUGAAGUGUGGACGCCAGUCUGCAUGGAGCCGACCUUGAAAUACCACCCUUUAAUGUUUGAUGUUCUAACGUGGACCCGUUACCCGGGUUGCGGACAGUGUCUGGUGGGUAGUUUGACUGGGGCGGUCUCCUCCUAAAGAGUAACGGAGGAGCACGAAGGUUGGCUAAUCCUGGUCGGACAUCAGGAGGUUAGUGCAAUGGCAUAAGCCAGCUUGACUGCGAGCGUGACGGCGCGAGCAGGUGCGAAAGCAGGUCAUAGUGAUCCGGUGGUUCUGAAUGGAAGGGCCAUCGCUCAACGGAUAAAAGGUACUCCGGGGAUAACAGGCUGAUACCGCCCAAGAGUUCAUAUCGACGGCGGUGUUUGGCACCUCGAUGUCGGCUCAUCACAUCCUGGGGCUGAAGUAGGUCCCAAGGGUAUGGCUGUUCGCCAUUUAAAGUGGUACGCGAGCUGGGUUUAGAACGUCGUGAGACAGUUCGGUCCCUAUCUGCCGUGGGCGCUGGAGAACUGAGGGGGGCUGCUCCUAGUACGAGAGGACCGGAGUGGACGCAUCACUGGUGUUCGGGUUGUCAUGCCAAUGGCACUGCCCGGUAGCUAAAUGCGGAAGAGAUAAGUGCUGAAAGCAUCUAAGCACGAAACUUGCCCCGAGAUGAGUUCUCCCUGAGACUUAGAGUCUCCUGAAGGAACGUUGAAGACGACGACGUUGAUAGGCCGGGUGUGUAAGCGCAGCGAUGCGUUGAGCUAACCGGUACUAAUGAACCGUGAGGCUUAACCUUACAACGCCG